GACGAACGCUGGCGGCGUGCCUAAUACAUGCAAGUCGAACGCAGUGGGGACGGGUGAGUAACACGUGGGUAACCUCCCAUCAGAGGGGAUAACACUUGGAAACAGGUGCUAAACCGAUACUGAUUGAUGGACCCGGGGUGCAUUAGCUAGUUGGUGGGGUAACGGCUCACCAAGGCCACGAUGCAUAGCCGAUCUGAGAGGUUGACCGGCCACACUGGAACUGAGACACGGCCCAGACUCCUACGGGAGGCAGCAGUGGGGAAUCUUGGGCAAUGGGCGAAAGUCUGACCGAGCAAUGCCGCGUGAGUGAAGAAGGUUUUCGGAUCGUAAAACUCUGUUGUUAGAGAAGCGGUAUCUAACCAGAAAGCAACGGCUAACUACGUGCCAGCAGCCGCGGUAAUAC
rnacentral:rRNA from 1 species